rnacentral:lncRNA from 1 species
ACGAGAGGACAGAGACGCAGCGAUGAGCGACCCACGCACCCAUCAGCUUCACUUGCCCCUUUUAGUUGGAAGGUAGCACCAUUAAGUUCUCCGUGCCUUUUUAUGGAUAAUAGAUGGCUGUUACCGGUUCCUCUUGGGGAAGUUCUCCGUCAGCUGUCAGACUGCUCUUUCAUCUACAUCACUGUUAUAGAAUUAUUAGUAACACUUUCUGACGGAUCUUCUGAUUAAUAGCAGGACCCCGUUCGAGUAAAGUCUGAACCUACCAAGCUCUACCGAUUGAAUGAUUGUACAACAAAAGGAUUAAAAGAAAAAUAUCAGCUCAGCUCCCAGUAGAAAUACCUCGCUGUCCGCUCACUAGCUUUGCCAGUAACCUGACCUUUGCUUGCAGCUGGCGAAGUUGGCAUUGGAUGUCCCCAGCCAGGCAGCAGGUACCCCCAUUGAUCAUACUCGCCUACCACUCCAAUUCAUUUGCUACCAAUGGUACAAUUAUUACGUUUGUUUAUGAAAUGGUAUUGUUUCUGGUAUGACG